AAUGGAAUAGUUCAGUAGAUAGAACGUUGGGGUCAUAAUCCAAAUGCCGCAGGUUUAAGUCCUGCUUUCAUUA
rnacentral:tRNA from 1 species